rnacentral:rRNA from 1 species
AACAGGGAUUGCCCUAGUAACGGCGAGUGAAGCGGCAACAGCUCAAAUUUGAAAUCUGGCCUUCGGGUCCGAGUUGUAAUUUGUAGAGGAUGCUUUUGGUGCGGUGCCUUCCGAGUUCCCUGGAACGGGACGCCAUAGAGGGUGAGAGCCCCGUCUGGUUGGAUACCAAGCCUCUGUAAAGCUCCUUCGACGAGUCGAGUAGUUUGGGAAUGCUGCUCUAAAUGGGAGGUAUAUGUCUUCUAAAGCUAAAUACCGGCCAGAGACCGAUAGCGCACAAGUAGAGUGAUCGAAAGAUGAAAAGCACUUUGAAAAGAGGGUUAAACAGUACGUGAAAUUGUUGAAAGGGAAGCGCUUGCGACCAGACUUGGGCCCGGUUAAUCAUCCAGCGUUCUCGCUGGUGCACUUGGCCGGCCCAGGCCAGCAUCAGUUUGGCGCGGGGGAUAAAGGCUUCGGGAAUGUGGCUCCUCCGGGAGUGUUAUAGCCCGUUGUGCAAUACCCUGCGCUGGACUGAGGUUCGCGCAUCUGCAAGGAUGCUGGCGUAAUGGUCAUUAGCGACCCGUCUUGAAACACGGACCAAGGAGUCGUCCUCGUAUGCGAGUGUUCGGGUGUCAAACCCCUACGCGUAAUGAAAGUGAACGCAGGUGAGAGCUUCGGCGCAUCAUCGACCGAUCCUGAUGUUCUCGGAUGGAUUUGAGUAAGAGCAUACGGGGCCGGACCCGAAAGAAGGUGAACUAUGCCUGUAUAGGGUGAAGCCAGAGGAAACUCUGGUGGAGGCUCGCAGCGGUUCUGACGUGCAAAUCGAUCGUCAAAUAUGGGCAUGGGGGCGAAAGACUAAUCGAAC